UUUUUUUUCUGUAAAACAAAAUCAUUUUAGAAGAAGAUGAUGACGAUGAGAUCAGUUUUUGCAGUCCUUAGUCAGCCUCCGGUACAGCCAGUCGAAGACGAAAAUGAAGAAGGAGAUGAGGAUAGAGACAACGAUGGCAAUGAUGACGAAGACAUCGAUUAGGACAUAUAUGACGACAUCUACAAUGAAGAUAGUGAAGAUAAAAUAUGAUUUUGAGAUAAUCGGUUUGUUUGGAGGCCUAAGCUUCAACGUUUGGAAUCCUCAGCUCAUCUGUCACCAUGGAUUUAACUAUCGUUCCGGUAAUGGGUAACUCCGAUGAACUCGGUUUGUGCUUGUGGCUGCUUCCUAGUGAUCUUAAUGAGCCGGCUAAGACCAAUUUUGAGUUCAUGUUUGCUGAUUAUGAUAGACUCAUCGACUUUGAGUAUCUAAACUAUGUCCCCGUUCGGACCAAAACAUAGCCUCUUUUGUUAACUAAAAACGACCAGUGUUUUGACAUGGAUUUUUGCAUAUCAGAGCUCUCUGCUUUCACCUACCCAGCUCAAUCAACCAACCACAAUCGAGGAGAAUCAGUAGGGAAUUCAACAUUGCGAAGUUUCAUGCUCGGAACAGAUAAAAAGACAAAGUAUAAGAAGAAGGAGAAGCCGGUCGGUUAGUGAUAGACCAAGGAUUUUACCCAUCAUUAGUCAUGGUUCAGGUACUAACUGGAAGAAAAUAGUGUAUUUGGAGCUAUUUGGAGAUCUUUUAAGCUUUGCUGGAAAUAGGAGAUGGUCGACGGUCACCAAGAAAUAUCGACCGACAUUUAUCAACAAAUAUCGAUCGAUGUUGAGCUCUUCUCAUCGAUCGACGGUGAAGCCACCCGAGAGUUAAUGACAAAUUAGAAGA